GGCAGUUCUUGGGUGAUGCACUUUGGAACCAGAAAGGAGGGAGCCCGAUUCCAGGGUGCAUCACCCAAGAACUACC
rfam:Myotis brandtii contig304581, whole genome shotgun sequence.